CGCGGCCUAUCAGCUUGUUGGCGGGGUAACGGCCCACCAAGGCGACGACGGGUAGCCGGCCUGAGAGGGUGACCGGCCACACUGGGACUGAGACACGGCCCAGACUCCUACGGGAGGCAGCAGUGGGGAAUAUUGCACAAUGGGCGAAAGCCUGAUGCAGCGACGCCGCGUGAGGGAUGACGGCCUUCGGGUUGUAAACCUCUUUCAGUAGGGAAGAAGCGAAAGUGACGGUACCUGCAGAAGAAGCGCCGGCUAACUACGUGCCAGCAGCCGCGGUAAUACGUAGGGCGCAAGCGUUAUCCGGAAUUAUUGGGCGUAAAGAGCUCGUAGGCGGUUUGUCGCGUCUGUCGUGAAAGUCCGGGGCUCAACCCCGGAUCUGCGGUGGGUACGGGCAGACUAGAGUGAUGUAGGGGAGACUGGAAUUCCUGGUGUAGCGGUGAAAUGCGCAGAUAUCAGGAGGAACACCGAUGGCGAAGGCAGGUCUCUGGGCAUUAACUGACGCUGAGGAGCGAAAGCAUGGGGAGCGAACAGGAUUAGAUACCCUGGUAGUCCAUGCCGUAAACGUUGGGCACUAGGUGUGGGGGACAUUCCACGUUUUCCGCGCCGUAGCUAACGCAUUAAGUGCCCCGCCUGGGGAGUACGG
rnacentral:rRNA from 1 species